AACGCACCUUGCGCCCCUUGGUAUUCCGAGGGGCACACCCGUUUGAGUGUCGUGAACACCCUCAACCUUCUUGGUUUCUUGACCAGGAAGGCUUGGACUUUGGAGGUUUUCCUUGCUGGCUUUCCUUUAAAGCCAGCUCCUCCUAAAUGAAUUAGUGGGGUUCGCCUUGCCGAUCCUUGACGUGAUAAGUAUGCUUCUACGUCUUGGGUUUUAAAGGAACCUGCUUCAAACGGUCUUUGAACAAAGACAAUGUUCGAGUUGCAUUGCGACUCAAACUCAGUGACCUUGACCUCAAAUCGGGUGAGACUACCCGCUGAACUUAAGCAUAUCAAGCGGAGG
rnacentral:rRNA from 1 species